UACGAGGGGGGCGAGCGUUGUUCGGAAUUAUUGGGCGUAAAGGGUGCGUAGGCGGUUUGGUAAGUCUCUUGUGAAAUCUAUGGGCUCAACUCAUAGUCUGCAAGGGAAACUGCCGGGCUUGAGUGUGGGAGAGGUGAGUGGAAUUUCCGGUGUAGCGGUGAAAUGCGUAGAUAUCGGAAGGAACACCUGUGGCGAAGGCGGUUCUCUGGGACGGUACUGACGCUGAGACGCGAAAGCGUGGGGAGCGAACAGG
rnacentral:rRNA from 1 species